rnacentral:rRNA from 1 species
ACCGGCAGCUCAAGUGGUGGCCAUUUUUAUUGGGCCUAAAGCGUUCGUAGCCGGUUUGAUAAGUCUCUGGUGAAAUCCCGCAGCUUAACUGUGGGACUUGCUGGAGAUACUAUUAGACUUGAGGUCGGGAGAGGUUAGGGGUACUCCCAGGGUAAGGGUGGAAUCAUAGAAUCCUGGGAGGACCACCUGUGGCGAAGGCGCCUAACUGGAACGAACCUGACGGGGAGUAACGUAAGACAGGGGCGCGAACAG